rnacentral:tRNA from 1 species
GUUUUUAUGGUUGAAUUACAACGAUGGUUUUUCAGAUCAUUGGUCUUGGUUAAAGCCCGAGUAAAAACU